GUUGCAGUGAGCUGAGAUCACGCCACUGCACUCCAGCCUGAGUGACAGAGCGAGACUCUGUCUCAAAUAAUAAUAAUAAUAAUAAAUAAUUGCAUCUAAGUUGUGCACAAUGGCUCAUGCAUGUAAUCUCAGCACUUUGGGAGUCUGAGGUGGGCAGAUCGCUUGAGCCUAGGAGUUUGAGAUCAGCCUGGGCACCAUGGCAAGACUCCAUCUCCACAAAAAAUUAGCUGGGCAUGGUGGUAUGCACCUGUAGUCCCAGCUACCUGGGAGGUUGAGGUGGGAGGAUCACCUGAGCCCAGGAAGUUGAGGCUGCAGUGAGCUGUGAUUGAGCCACUGUACUACAGUCUGGGUGACAAAGUGAGACCCUGUCUCAAUAAUAGUAAUAGUAAUAAUAAUUGCAUCUAAUUUUCACGUCUGAGAAGAUUCUUUUAACUUAGGGCUAAAGCAAUCAAUGAUCCUUUUAAACGAGUGGUUCCUAAGCAUAUAUGCCAUAAUCAGACAUCUAGAACUGGAAAUGGACCAUCAGAUCAAAGUCCAUGAGGACUCCCACCAGCAUCAGUCUCCAAGAAUCUGUACGUGGCUCCCAGAGACUGAGACCAAGACACAUUAGCAGGAGGCAACUUAUUUGAGGAAGCACCAGAGCCAGUGCCCACAGGAAGAAUGGUCCACAGGUGCACUGGGGCCAGCACAGAUGACUGCAGCUAUGGGUCACGAGCAAUGGCAGGACAACUCAGCAGUCAAGAACCCAGCUACAGUGGAACAGGAGACAUUAAUCCUAGGAAGCAGUGUGUUUACUGGAUGGAACACAGGACUAUGGCACACUGAGAUCAAGCAUUAUUUUUGUCCCAUACUAGGGAUUGACCCCAGGAAAAGAUUCCAAGAUAGUCAUUAUCUUUGGUGGAGGAGGGACAGAUUCUUGUUUUGGACCUACAGAAAAGGAUAUGAGAGAUCCCUAAGUCUGAUCAACCACGUAAGAGAAGCCUGCAUCCCCUUCGCCUUCUGCCAUGAUUGUUAAGUUUUCUGAGGCCUUCCCAGAAGCCAAGGAGGUGGCCAGCAUCAUGUCUCCUGUACAGCCUGCAGAACUUGAUUGGAAGAGAAAGUCCAACCAGACUCAGCUCUGGACUUUGGUUCAUCACUGGGAGUGGAGAAGUGCUCGUCUUCCUUUCAUGUGAACAAAGAAGCCUGUGGGUCCAGAAACCUUUGAUAGUCAUCUUGGAACGACAGGGAGAGAAGCCUGCCAAGAAUGAAACCAACAAUGAAGAAGUAGAAUUGAGAAACAGAGAGAAACUUGGUCUUGAUCUCGUCAUUUUAGGAGCUAAAUGAAGACUGGCCUGCAGCUCUGGACUGUUCAAUUACAUGAACACUUAUAUUCCCUUAUUGCUUGAAACAGCCUGUUUUACUUAAUUUAAAAGAAUAUAUCAAGGUCAGGCUCAUGCCUGUAAUCCCUUUGGGAGGCCGAGGUGGGCAGAUCACUUGAAGCCAGGAGUUCAAGACCACCCUGGCCAACAUGGUGAAACAUACAAAAUAUAAAAAAUACAAAAAAUUACCCGGGUGUGGUGGCAGGUGCUGUAAUCCCAGUUACUCAGGAGGCAGCAUCAGGAGAAUCACUUGAGCCUGGGAGAUGGAGGUUGCAGUGACCCAAGAUAAUGCCACUGCACUCCGGCCUGUGUGACAGAACAUGAUUGUCUCAAAAAAAAAAUGUACAUGUUCUUCUCUUUUCCAUUUCGGUGUAUAUGACCUUCUCUAUAGUCAGCCGCAAGUAUCUACCAACCACUGGGGAUGGGAGUGGAGAUUAGUACUCCUAAAAAAAUGGAAUUAAUUUAGGAAAAAGAAGAGUCAAAGUUCAGCUUUUUACUUGGGUGCAGAAAGGGUAAAAAGGGGAGAUAGUGGAGUAAGCAGCCUUGAAUCAUGAUUUUAACCUUUAGGCAGAAAUUCCAUUAAGGCUAUUAAAUUGACUGUGAAGAAAGCUGAAAGUAGAGGGUCUUGGAUUCCACUCCCUGUUUGGAAAUAAGACAGGAGAAAGUCUCACAGGGUGGCUCUGCACCAAUACAGGAUGGCUAAAGCAGAGUGAAAGAGCAACAUGGCACAGAUAGAGUGAGACCUGAGUUGACAGUCCUGAUCUUAUUCAGGCUUUAGCAUGGUAUGGAAGGGAUCCAGAGGUUGCUGCAUGCACUGUUAUGUACUUAGAAAGUAGCUGAUGGUGCUAGCUAGUCUGGCAGAAGGUUAUCAUGGUGGCAACAAAGUGACCUUGUAGCCAAACCUGCAGGCAAAUUACCUGGGUUGCGAAUUCUCUGGGAGUCACAGCCAGACAUCAGGGGGAUCAACAGUGCCAGUGUCAACCAAGUAGGGACAGAGAUAAUCUGCCCUGUUGCGUUGGCUUGAGUUUCCCCAUCAAUGAUUCCUCAUGUGAUUUAAAAUGUUUUAAUUGUACUCAUAUUUUUUUCUGAGAGUACUGUGUACUAUGGGUGGUGACACACUUGACAUUUGUAUUUGCAUUUUUUAGCCCCCAAUUUUUUUUUUUAAAGACAAGGUCUUGGUCUGUGGUCCAGUCUGGAAUGCACUGGCAUGAUCCUAGCUCAUUGCAUCCUUGAACUCCUGUGCUCAAGUGAUCCUCCCACCUCAACCUCCUGAGUAGCUAGGACUACAGGUGUGUACCAUCACACCUGACUGUUUUUAAUUGCUUUAUUUUUUGUAGUGAUCAGGUCUUGCUAUGUUGCCCAGGCCAGUCUUGAAAUUCUGGUCUCAAGUGAUCCUCCUGCCUCAGCCUCCCAAAGUGCUGGGAUUACAGGUGUGAACCACCACACCUGGCCCAAGUUAACAUUUUUUUAUUGUGGCAAAAUAUGCAUAACAUAAAAUUUACCAUUUUCACCAUUUAAAAAUUUGUAAACUUCAUUUUAUUAUUUAAUGUGUAAGACUAAUAAAAAUACCAUGAAAAGCAAUUAGAAUCAUAAAUAUAGUAUUGUGGUGUUUUUUGUUUUUUUUGAGAUGGUGUCUCGCUCUGUUGCCCAGGCUGGAGUGCAAUGGCAUGGUCUCGACUCAUUGCAACCUCUGCCUGCUGGUUCAAGUGAUUCUCCUGCAUCAGCCUCCCAAGUAGAUGGGACUAUAGGUGCGUGCCACCACAUCUGGCUAGUUUUUGUAUUUCUAGUAGAGACAGGGUUUUACUAUGUUGGCGAGGGAGAUUCAAACUCCUGACCUCGUGAUCCACCUGCCUCGGCCUCCCAAAGUGCUGGGAUUAUAGGCGUGAGCCACAGCACCCGGCCUGUAAUGGUUUUUUCUAUGUAGACUUUGAAAUUCUUUGAUUAUUGCAUUAUAAACCAUUAAUCUAAGUAAUUAAGGAAACAUCCAGAGAAUUUUCUUUCACUAAAUGUUUAAAGGAGUUUCUUUUCUUUUAAUUUAGAUCGUAGUUGAAGGAGAUGGAGAAAGAGUAGGUCCUUUUUUUUUUUUUUUUUUUUUUUUGAGACAGUUUCGCUCUUGUCACCCAGGCUGGAGUGCAAUGGCGUGAUCUCAGCUCACUGCAACCUCUGCCUCCUGGGUUCAAGCAAUUAUCCUGCCUCAGCCUUCUGAGUAGCUGAGAUUACAGGCGCCCACUACCAUGGCUGGCUAAUUUUUGUAUUUUUAGUAGAGAUGGGGUUUCAUGAUGUUGGCCAGGCCGGCCUCAAACUCCUGACCACAGGUGAUUCUCCCGCCUUGGCCUCCCAAACUGCUAGGAUUGCAGGCAUGAGCCACCGCACCUAGUGAGCAGGUCCUUCUUAGAUUACUGAUUGAAAUUGCAGUGUAGACCCUUUCAUUUUCUUUUCAUAAUCUUCAAAUUUCUCAUACUGAGUGACAAAGAAUUUAUUCCUCCAG
rnacentral:lncRNA from 10 species